rnacentral:rRNA from 1 species
AUUGAACGCUGGCGGCAUGCCUUACACAUGCAAGUCGAACGGCAGCACGGGUGCUUGCACCUGUUGGCGAGUGGCGAACGGGUGAGUAAUACAUCGGAACAUGUCCUGUAGUGGGGGAUAGCCCGGCGAAAGCCGGAUUAAUACCGCAUACGAUCUACGGAUGACAGCGGGGGACCUUCGGGCCUCGCGCUAUAGGGUUGGCCGAUGGCUGAUUAGCUAGUUGGUGGGGUAAAGGCCUACCAAGGCGACGAUCAGUAGCUGGUCUGAGAGGACGACCAGCCACACUGGGACUGAGACACGGCCCAGACUCCUACGGGAGGCAGCAGUGGGGAAUUUUGGACAAUGGGCGAAAGCCUGAUCCAGCAAUGCCGCGUGUGUGAAGAAGGCCUUCGGGUUGUAAAGCACUUUUGUCCGGAAAGAAAUCCUUGGCUCUAAUACAGUCGGGGGAUGACGGUACCGGAAGAAUAAGCACCGGCUAACUACGUG